UUCAAAUAGCAAAACCCCUUUUCAAAUAACAAAACUCCCCUUUCAAAUAGCAAAACUCCCUUUUCAAAUAGCAAAUCUCCCCUUUCAAAUAGCAAAACUCCCUUUUUAAAUAGCAAAACACCCUUUUCAAAUAGCAAAACUCCCUUUUCAAAUAGCAAAACACCCUUUUUAAAUAGCAAAACCCCUUUUAAUCUUUAAUCUUUAAUAAAAUUAUUUAAACACGGUAGCCUGUUCAGCAGAUAAUAUUUACAGCGCUGGUUU